GGCAGACGCCGGUUGCUCGCUUCCGCAAGGAAGUGCGGCUUCUGUGUGUUUGUCAUCCUUCUAGAUUGGGGUGAUGCUCGGUUUACUCCUGGUGUCUCCUUUGUCUAGAUUUUUUACUUUGAAGAAAUUAGAGUGUUCAAAGCAGGCAUAUCGCUUUGCAUACAUUAGCAUGGAAUAAUACCAUAGGACUUUUGUUCUAUUGUGUUGGUCUAGAACUUAAGUA
rnacentral:rRNA from 1 species